AUAUUCAACUCAAUUGUUUUAGGGGCCACAUUUCCAGAAAGCUAAAGACUGGUGGUCAGUUGUAGGGUGUUUGGGUGAGGAGCUUGGUCACCAUGGCGACGCUUAGACGAGAACCGCUGCUCCUUUCUCAGUCCUGAUGCCUCCUGGACGUCUCCCUAGUGAGGUGGUCCAGGCAUGCCCAGCCAAAAGUAGGCCCUUAGGUAGACCUUGGAAUGGAGGGGUUAAUUAAGUCUCACCCCUGGCCUGGGAGGACCCCGCUGUGGAAAAGCGCCAUUUGGCAGCAGUUUCUGGUUGAUGUACUGUUGACUGAGUCCCGAGGCAUCCCGCCUGGCACAGUAGGCGGCACACUUUACAUGCUGCUUCAGUGCUGCUUGGAGGAACGACUUCACACCACUUCUGCUCCUGAGCAAACGUGUCCGACCUGGCAUCACUGACACCCUCAGCUGUGCUGGAUGUGUCGUUCAUCACGACCACAAUCAUCCACAACAGUACCAACACCCAGAGGUUCCAGGCGCUGGGCAUACAGGUGAACCAAGUUGUCGGACUGCAGGACCCUUACCAGAUAAAUGGUCUUACACAGGACAUGUGACUAUCACUGAGAAUGUCUGCUGUUGGGCAACCUCUUCAUGUUCCAGUCUCUUGGUGGCUCUGAGGUACGUCCUCUCUUUACAGUAUUGCGAAACGGUAUUCGAACUCCUGGGCAAUGGGCGCUUCCAACUAUGCCCUUUAAGCCGUGUCCUCUUGGUUACUGUUGUCAUGACCCACACGUUUCCUCAAAGAUGACGGAAGAUCAGCAAUCACUUGCUCAAAAGUUCAGAGAAAAAUGAGCAAACACUGUAAAAAAUUAACCAGGAAAAAAUUUGUGAACAUCCUGCGGCAGUUCCAUGAUGGGAUGAUGGCCAAGGUUACACUAGGUGGACUGGAAUCUGCUCCCUUUGAAGUAGCGACUGGUGUGAGACAAGGUUGCACCCUUGCCCCGGUUCUCUUCAACAUAUUUCUCCUAUGUGUAACAACACUUCUGCACAAGGAAAUAGAGGAGGAAAGUGGGGUGCCCUUUGAGUUCAGGGAACCUAUUCAACAUCAUAAGAUUCCAGGCCAAAACUAAACUUCAGUCUGUCCACAUACUGGAAUUCCAGUAUACUGAUGACUGUGUCCUUGUGGCACAAACACCAGAAGCCAAGCAGGCCACCAUUACAGCUGCAGAAAAGGCAUACAACAGAAUGGAACUGUCUAAACAUAUUAAAGACAAAAGUCCUCUGCCAGUGGUCAUCAGAACCCCCACAUAGACUUCCAACUCUCACCAUUGGGGGCUCCCCACUCACCACCGUUCCACACUUCAAAUAUCUGAGAAGUAUCCUCUCAGAUGACUGCAGCAUUGACUGGGACAUACAACACCGGGUCAAAGAGGUCUCAUCCUCCGUCAACAACAAUAACGAUAAAAGUCUUCAACAACAAUAACCUCCACCUCCACACCAAAGUCUCAGUCUACGAGGCAAUAUGCAUCACAACCCUUCUAUAUGACUGUGAGACAUGGACAAUCUAUGCUCGCCAUCUCAAGAUGCUGGUGACAUUUCAUUGAAGGUGUUUACAACGCAUCUUGAAGGUGACUUCAGCGAGCCAACUGCAGGAGCUUAGAGGCCAUUAUAAUGCUUUGUCAAGUGAUAUGGCUUGGCCAUGUCAUCAGAAUGCCAGCCAACCGCCUACCACGCAAAAUUCUCCACCUGGGCAGCUGCUCUGCUGGGCGCCAGAAGAAGAGGCUGAAAGACCAGCUCAAGAUCUUCCUAAAGAAGUGCAACAUACUGCACUACACUUCUUUGGAAGCUGCCUCUUCGGACCGCUCCUCCUGGCGUGGACUAUGCUGUCAAGGAGAUGAAGCGUCAGAAAAGACCAGACGAAAACACCAUUUGGCGAAAAGAGAGAGGAGAAAGGCGGCCAUGUCUGUACCUGCCCCACCGGGUCAAGUCUACAGUUGUCACGUAUGUGGCAGGCAGUGUGCAUCGCGCAUUGGGCUGCACAGUCAUCAACGAACCCACAAAGAGUA